UACGUAGGGGGCAGCGUUGUCCGGAUUUAUUGGGCGUAAAGAGCGUGUAGGCGGCCUGACAGGUCUGCUGUGAAAACUCGAGGCUCAACCUCGAGAUGUCGGCGGAAACCGUCUGGCUAGAGUCCGGAAGAGGAGAGUGGAAUUCCUGGUGUAGCGGUGAAAUGCGCAGAUAUCAGGAAGAACACCUAUGGCGAAGGCAGCUUCUUGGUCCACUCCUGACGUUGAGGCACGAAAGCGUGGGGAGCAAACAGG
rnacentral:rRNA from 1 species